rnacentral:misc_RNA from 1 species
UUAUAGGCUUGUAGCUCAGGUGGUUAGAGCGCACCCCUGAUAAGGGUGAGGUCGGUGGUUCAAGUCCACUCAGGCCUACCAAAUUCUUCCUCAUACCGCGUUGUCGCCACGAACUCGUUUGCGUAAGCAAACUUCGCAUGGCUCCGCCUUGUCUGAGAAAGAAUUAACUCUUUUACGAGUGGUAAAUCAAAGGUAUCUGUAAGUGACUGUAUGGGGCUAUAGCUCAGCUGGGAGAGCGCCUGCCUUGCACGCAGGAGGUCAGCGGUUCGAUCCCGCUUAGCUCCACCAUAUCCAUACAGCCUUUAAAUAAUACUUCAGAGUAUAUUGGAAACAGUAUGCUGCGAAGUAUUUUGCUCUUUAACAAUCUGGAACAAGCUGAAAAUUGAAACGACACAGCUGAAACUUAUCUCUCCGUAGAAGUACUGAGAUAAGGAGUACCCUGUGUUGAGUCUCUCAAGACUUGCAAACCGAGGUGAAA